UACGUAGGGUGCAAGCGUUGUCCGGAAUUAUUGGGCGUAAAGAGCUCGUAGGCGGUCUGUCACGUCGGCUGUGAAAUCCCGAGGCUCAACCUCGGGUCUGCAGUCGAUACGGGCAAACUAGAGUAUUGCAGGGGAGACUGGAAUUCCUGGUGUAGCGGUGAAAUGCGCAGAUAUCAGGAGGAACACCGGUGGCGAAGGCGGGUCUCUGGGCUGUAACUGACGCUGAGGAGCGAAAGCGUGGGGAGCGAACAGG
rnacentral:rRNA from 1 species